rnacentral:pre_miRNA from 1 species
GGGGGGAGGCCGGAUCCUGGGCUGUGUCCCGGCGCCUGCGCUGCUGGAUUCGCGCUCCCGGGCCGCGCAGCCCCCU